ACAGAGAUGGCGAGCGUUACUCGGAUUUAUUGGGUGUAAAGGGCAGGUAGGUGUUUUGCCAAGUUGCAAGUGAAGUCCUAAGGCUUAACCUUAGAACUGCUUGCAAAACUGGCGAAAUUGAGAUCGGUAGAGGAAAGCGGAAUUCCCGGUGUAAGGGUGAAAUUUGUAGAUAUCGGGAGGAACACCAGUGGCGAAAGCGGCUUUCUGGACCGAUUCUGACGCUAAGCUGCGAAAGCUCGGGGAGCAAACAG
rnacentral:rRNA from 1 species